GGUAGAGUUCAAUUUGAGUUUUGCUCAACAAGUUCAUUGUAAAAACAAAGAAAUAAUCAUGCUCAUUGUUGCAGGCCAGCUAUAUAUUUAUCAAAAUUAUAUUCAGUCUUGGCUUGCAAGGCAUGCACUAUGCGGGUCUUAAACGGAUUCAUUAUAGUGUUCCAACCAAUUAUGCUUUUGGAUUAUAUGCCGUGGAAGACCAAGAGGAAUACAAGUUAAAUCAAGGAUAAAGGGUACAUAGAAAGGGGUUUUUGGAAAGG
rnacentral:lncRNA from 1 species